CAGGAUGAACGCUGGCGGCGUGCCUAAUACAUGCAAGUCGAACGCUAAUUUCGGAUUAGAGUGGCGAACGGGUGAGUAACACGUAGGUAACCUGCCCAUAAGACGAGGAUAACUACUGGAAACGGUAGCUAAUACUGGAUAGUAUAUAGAAUCGCAUGAUUUUAUAUUAAAGGUGCUGCAAGGCACUACUUAUGGAUGGACCUGCGGCGCAUUAGCUAGUUGGUGAGGUAACGGCCCACCAAGGCGACGAUGCGUAGCCGGACUGAGAGGUUGAACGGCCACAUUGGGACUGAGACACGGCCCAGACUCCUACGGGAGGCAGCAGUAGGGAAUUUUCGGCAAUGGACGCAAGUCUGACCGAGCAACGCCGCGUGAGUGAAUGAAGUUCUUCGGAACGUAAAAUUCUUUUAUUUGGAAAAAACGUAUAGUGUAGGAAAUGACAUUAUAGUGAUGGUACCAAAUGAAUAAGCCCCGGCUAACUAUGUGCCAGCAGCUGC
rnacentral:rRNA from 1 species